rnacentral:lncRNA from 1 species
UGGUGAAUCAUGUAUUUGUCUAAGAUAGUGUCUUUUACAUGUAAUAUGCAAUGAACAGUUGGAAAGUUGGAAGUUUCAUUUUUCUCAAAUGACACACAUAUUACGUGUUGCCUGCUUCUCCCCAUAGUACUAUUUCUUAGGCUCACUACAGAGUACUAAAUAACAUCAGCUGUAAAAUGUGGGAAGUAGAUUAGAAUGACAGGAGCUCAUCAAAUGCCUUAUCAAAUAACUAUUUGAUUUGUAGCAUGCUUGUUUCCAAUUCAACCGGACCAUUGAACACAUCAAGCAAUUUAUCCGUGGAGAAGGGAGAUAAUCCUGCAAGACCAUCAGUUGUAUUUUAUAAUGUGAAGACACAUUAAAAUACCAAUGAAGUAGCACUUACCACUCAGGCCUUUUUAGUGUUUAACAUUUAGGGAAAACCGGACCAUUGAACACAUCAAGCAAUUUAUCCGUGGAGAAGGGAGAUAAUCCUGCAAGACCAUCAGUAGUAUUUUAUAAUGUGAAGACACAUCAAAAUACCAAUGAAGUAGCACUCACAACUCAGAUCUUUUUAGUAUUUAACAUUUAGGGAAAGCUAAUAGAGAUAUCGAACAUCUAAUACUUGGCACUGCCUAAACAGGAGCACUCUAUCUUCAUUAAUGAACCUAAAAAUUAUUUAUUUGAUAUUUUGAUUCAGUAUUUACAAAGUUGGAAAAUUAAUUUAAAAUGCUUUGAGCAUUUUAUGAUUAUCCUCAUCAGAAGUUAUGCAAAUCGUUUUAAAAUGCACUCUCACAAUAUGCUGGCAGUUGCUUGUGUGUAUGCACCUAGAGGUUGUUUUAAUGGUUUGGAAAUUUGCACACUUGAAAACUGCUCCAUAGAUAUUGGCAAUGGUGGCCAAGCAAAGAGGUACUUAGGUUGUCUUGAUCAUUUAAAAUCUAUAUCAGAAAUUCGACUUGAUUGAGCCUUGUGGACACCAUGGCUCCCCCUGUUCAGAAAUAUCAACUAAUCAUAAUGAAGUAAUGAUUGCCUACCUAAAGAAUAUGAUGUCCGAGCCAAUAAGGUUCUCCUCAUAGCUGAACAUCCAUAUUUAAAAUUUGGACCUUCUGGAUUAUGAAGGAAACAGGGGUUUGCAUGCUCCUAAGUACCAACUAAUCAUAUGUAUCAAUGAUCACAUACCUAACAGAAAAGGCAUAAAUCACAUAUUGGCAUGAUAUUUUGGGCGUCCCGAUUGCGUGAACACAUAGAGUGCUGCAGCUCAAAGUUGACCUCCCCAAUUGUCUCUGGAACUUAA